rnacentral:rRNA from 1 species
GAUCUGGAUUAAGAGCUUGCUCUUAUGAAGUUAGCGGCGGACGGGUGAGUAACACGUGGGUAACCUGCGCCCAUAAAACUGGGAUAACUCCGGGAAACCGGGGCUAAUACCGGAUAACAUUUUGAACCGCAGGGUUCGAAAUUGAAAGGCGGCUUCGGCUGUCACUUAUGGAUGGACCCGCGUCCCAUUAGCUAGUUGGUGAGGUAACGGCUCACCAAGGCAACGAUGCGUACCCAACCUGAGAGGGUGAUCGGCCACACUGGGACUGAAACACGGCCCAAACUCCUACGGGAGGCAGCAGUAGGGAAUCUUCCGCAAUGGACAAAAGUCUGACGGAGCAACCCCCCGGGAGUGAUGAAGGCUUUCGGGUCGUAAAACUCUGUUGUUAGGGAAAAACAAGUGCUAGUUGAAUAAGCUGGCACCUUGACGGUACCUAACCAGAAAGCCACGGCUAACUACGUGCCAAUCGCCGCGGUAAUACGUAGGUGGCAAGCGUUAUCCGGAAUUAUUGGGCGUAAAGCGCGCGCGAGUGGUUUCUUAAGUCUGAUGUGAAAGCCCACGGCUCAACCGUGGAGGGUCAUUGUUAACUGGGAGACUUGAGUGCAGAAGAGGAAAGUGGAAUUCCAUGUGUAGCGGUGAAAUGCGUAGAGAUAUGGAGGAACACCAGAUGCGAAAGGCGAAUCA